rnacentral:rRNA from 1 species
GACGAACGCUGGCGGCGUGCCUAAUACAUGCAAGUUGAGCGCUGAAGGUUGGUACUUGUACCAACUGGAUGAGCAGCGAACGGGUGAGUAACGCGUGGGGAAUCUGCCUUUGAGCGGGGGACAACAUUUGGAAACGAAUGCUAAUACCGCAUAAAAACUUUAAACACAAGUUUUAAGUUUGAAAGAUGCAAUUGCAUCACUCAAAGAUGAUCCCGCGUUGUAUUAGCUAGUUGGUGAGGUAAAGGCUCACCAAGGCGAUGAUACAUAGCCGACCUGAGAGGGUGAUCGGCCACAUUGGGACUGAGACACGGCCCAAACCCCUACGGGAGGCAGCAGUAGGGAAUCUUCGGCAAUGGACGAAAGUCUGACCGAGCAACGCCGCGUGAGUGAAGAAGGUUUUCGGAUCGUAAAACUCUGUUGGUAGAGAAGAACGUUGGUGAGAGUGGAAAGCUCAUCGAGUGACGGUAACUACCCAGAAAGGGACGGCUAACUACGUG